AAGGCUUUAAGUUAAUUAAACUAAUAGCCUUCAAAGUUAUAAAUAAAGAAAAUUCUUUAGGCCUUA
rnacentral:tRNA from 1 species